rnacentral:lncRNA from 1 species
CAACACAAUAUUCUCAGUCUUCUCCAUCUGUCUUUUACAUCCUUUAUAAGGCAUCCUAUGAGCAUUCUAGAGAGAGAAACUCCCACAACAACAGAUGUGACACCCACAAAAGUUCUUUAAGUAUCUAUAUAACCUGUAUCUAUCAUUAUCUUUCCAUCCAUUGAGUGACUAAGAGGUUGGAGAUAGCUGCCCUGAAGAAAAAGUUGAAGCUGGUGGUGGAAGUUGCAAAGCUGGCAGUGGCCUCUAAGGUCAUGAUACUUUUGAGAUACUGAUUCUUUUGGUGACUUCAAUGACAGCAUGCAUCAUAUAAGAGGAGCAAUCCAGUUGUUCCAUUUGUUGAAGAAGUCUGAGUUUUGAUAAGAUCUGUGCUGAAGUAACUCAAUUUUACCAAGCCAAAUGCUUCAUACAAGUCUCAAUCUAGAAGAACACCAUGCUCUCUUCUCCACUUGCAGAAUUGAAUCAAGUUGUCUGCAGUCACGAAACAUUCACCAGUUUCUGUAAGAAAAUCUCAGUAUUAACAAAAGUCAUUUGUAUGGUAAUUGUUUCACUUGUUGUAGAAGAAGCAGGGAUUGAGAUAAAGAUCUGUGAUGAAGCAAUCCAUUUUACCAAUUCAAAUGCUUUAUAUAUGUCUAAAUUUAGAAGAACAACAUGCUCCCUUCUGCAUUUGCAGAACUGAAUCAGGUUGGCCUUAGUCAUGAAACAUUCACCAAUUCCUGUAAGAAAAUCUCAAUAGUAACAUCAGCUAUUUGUAUGGUAAUUGUUUCACUUGUUGCAGAAGAAUUCUGGGAUUGUGAUAAGAUCUGUGAUGAAGAAACCCAUUUUACCAAUUCAAAUGCUUUAUAUAAUUCUAAAUUUAGAAGAACACCAUGCUCCCUUCUCCAUUUGCAGAACUGAAUCAGGUUGUCUGUAGUCAUGAAACAUUCACCAAUUCCUGUGAGAAAACUUCAACAGUAACACCAGUCAUUUGUAUGGUCAAGUAAGGAUUUGGAUUUCUUCGAACUUCUUCAUGUAUGAGAUAGUAAUUGGUUAGACUACCACUGUAAAAGAAGGGAAAGACUAAACGCUAUAUGAACAAUGAUGGAAAGAAGAGAUAACUUGUUAUACUAUAACCAGUUAUAUCUCUCUUUCUGUAU